AUUCAGGGAAGACACCAUAAUCAGGCAGGUGGUUUUCCUACAGCAAGGUCCAUGUCUUGUACACAGAGGUGUGCUCACCUCUGUGAUUUCCCCAAAUGUGGAAAAUUUGACUGCAUAGUAGGGGACUGCAUUUGUUCUUUUUCCUG
rnacentral:snRNA from 10 species